rnacentral:rRNA from 1 species
UACGUAGGGGGCAAGCGUUGUCCGGAUUCAUUGGGCGUAAAGAGCUCGUAGGCGGCUUGUCACGUCGGUUGUGAAAGCCCGGGGCUUAACCCCGGGUCUGCAGUCGAUACGGGCAGGCUAGAGUUCGGUAGGGGAGAUCGGAAUUCCUGGUGUAGCGGUGAAAUGCGCAGAUAUCAGGAGGAACACCGGUGGCGAAGGCGGGUCUCUGGGCCGAUACUGACGCUGAGGAGCGAAAGCGUGGGGAGCGAACAGG